UUUAUUUUGUGAGUGAGGUUUUAACCCUGUCCAAGGAACGAUACCCGCAUUGGCAGAAGCUUGUCUUUGGGGUCUUUAUGGCAAGUCAGAAAUUAAAGCACUACUUCUAGGAACACCCGAUCACACUGGUUUGUUCAGCACCUCUUGGUGACAUAAUAGAAAAUCGUGAAGCAACUGGACGAAUAGCUAAAUGGGCUUGCCGGUCAAAAAAAAAGCUAAAUGGG
rnacentral:lncRNA from 1 species